AGGUUAAAUAUUUGCAAAGUAUCACUUAUUAGAGGCAGAGGCUGGUCAAACUGUAAAGCCAAGGGCUUCUGGUGAAACAGAACCCAGGGCAGAGCGAUGAAGGAAAUUAAAAAUAAAAAGCAAUAGAAACUGAAUGAGAGGAGAGCAGUCUAAUGAGUCAACAGCAAUCCGUUCAUUCGGUUUUAAAAUACAGGCAGUAGCUAAUCGUUCAUACACCAAUUCAUUAACCAUCAGCAUCAAUUUUGUUUCCACAUCACAGAAGCCUCGGCAGCCUCUGGGCAUCUCCUAUGUAUUCUGACCUCACCUGGCUGUCACCACGAGCCGUAUGAUGAUGACUUGGCAGUUUGCAGCGAUCCAGGCCCCUGUCUGGCUGAACAACAUCACACAGGCCCCAGCGGAGUCACAGUCACAGUCACAGUCACAGUCACAACAGCGAUGAACGAGUAACAGAGAGGGGAUGACCCACAUCGAUGGAAGGCAUCACAUGAACCAGUCUCAUCAGAGCACAGCAGCCAUCCUUUAAAGCAGCCCGGCGACACUACGCUGCCUUAGCUUAUGGCAUCGUUUUCUUGAUCCAAUCGGCUAAACUGUGCAGAGUGGAUGACAACACCGUCAGGGGCCGUGGUGCAGAUAUGAUCCAGCAGUGGGCAGUAUAAUGCAACAAGUACCAGCAAGAUCCCCUGUGGCACCAUACAGGAUAUUUUACUUUAAACGUGACCACAUCAUAUCAACAGGAUCGACUUCCAUUCACAAUGGGGUAUAAAUAUGAAACAGCUGCCUCCGUCAUCCUCCGGGAUUGCUCGACUGUUGAGCGAUUGGGCAGCGUUGAGGAUCAUCCCAAAGAUGCUGAAUGGGUGACAGAUCACGGCUCUGCGCAGCCGAGUCAAGCGCACCAAAAUGGAAAAGAAGAAAAAAAAGGGGAAAAAAAACUUCUUUCUGGACCUUUGCCUUGUGCCCAGGAACAUGAUCACAGAAAAGAGCCUUUCCCAAACAUUAGCCACAACGUUGGCCGCAAAAUAAUGUUGAAAAGACACAUGAAUGGGAUUCAUAAGAGGAGUAAACUGGAAUAACAAAUCAGAUGGUUAUCAAUGAAAUAUAAUAUGACAUAUCAUUUUAUUAUUGUAAUUGGAGCUAUGGCCAAGCAUAAACCAUGAAAAAUCUACAAAAAAUAUACAUGGUAUCGGUGUCUGCAGCCUUUUGGCCACACUUUGGGACCCUCCUAUGUACACGCUGACGCACAGCUGACUCUUUUUUUGGCCAAACAAAUGGGUUCAAAAAGAACCAACGUCUUGACUCUCACUCUCUCUCUCUCCACCCCGAUCCAUUGUCUCCUUCUCCCUGCCAUCGUCUCUCUCCUCUUCAGACAUUUGUCACCCUUGUCUCUUGUUUUUCAACCUUCACCAUUCCUGACUCUCCCUGUCUCUCUCUCUCUUGCGCUCCACUGUGGCUUUCUAAUUGAAUCCACAGGACUGAAUUCCAGUGGGCAGGGGAAGAGGAGAGGGAGGGGUGGAGUCAGAGGUCAAAGGUUAUGUUACGACCUUUGCCCCGUGAGUAGAACCCUACUGUGCUGCGUUUCUGGAUGCGUGAGCAUGUGUGUGUGUGUGUGUGUGUGUGUGUGUUUUUGUAAAACAGGAGAGAGUUACUUGUUGAGUUACUUGUUAUGUAUUUAUGCAUAAAUGAACAUUCCAAAGCAGUCACUCUGGUUAUCAUGUUUAUUCAUGAAGCAGCAGUCAUGUAUUUAUGUUAAAAGUUAAGUACAAUACACAGAUUUAUGUCACUUAACUGUUUUAUUCGUCUUUUCUCUGUCCUCCUGUCCUCCUUCUUUUGAAUGUCAGUUCAGACGAAUUUAAAUUGAUUUCUUCCAAUAAUGUUGGUAUAAUUUCUUGAACAAAGUACAGUGAAAAAGAUGUGAAGUGUGGCCGAAAAGGUGGUAUUAGUUUG